rnacentral:lncRNA from 1 species
UUCUCAAACAACACACUUACAAAUAGGAACUCAGAAUUGAUCUUUGAUUAAUUGAAAUCGAAUACAUGGAAAUAGAGAAUAACUAGAUAGACAUUAACCUAACUAAGCUAGAAAGAAAGGAGGGGAGAGACAGAGCCACAGAGAGAAAUAGCGUAGGAGAGAGAGAGAGAGACCAGUACAAUCUUCAGCAUCCCUAUCUGUGCCAACGCUUAGUCCCUUUUAACUGAUUCCUUAUUGUACUUCUUGGGCCUGGAUCCCAAAUUAACCUUUUUGAAGGUCUUCUGGUCCUAACGCUUCUUCUCGGCCCAAUAGUUCUUCUAAGCCCAAUAGCUUGAUUCAUAACAAUACUCCCGUCCUCAAUAAGAACCUUGAUAGCAUUAUCAAUGAGAAAAGAGUGUUGACAUAGGUAAAUAACAAAUGAUGCUAAUAAGCACAUCAAUCCAACUAGCAUCAUCCAGGCCGUCGACAAUAUCCAAAACAAGUCCACUUAGCAUCUUGGAUCGAGUUAAUAACACAAAAUCAUACGUAUAACCAUCACCACUACUCUGUAAAGAAAUCAAAACACUGACAGCAAUAUUCUCCCUACAUAUAGAACCAUAGGUGUUCGGAAGCAGAACAUGGGGUCCUGGAUCAUAAUGAUAAAGGUCAAAUAUAGUGUCCUCUUCAUAGCUACCAAACUUCAAAUUGUUUUGUCGCGCACAAGCACUAAGCAAGUCACCUCUGGUGGUCUCAUAGUAUACAUAUACGCAUACUGGACUGCAAGUUGUAGGCACCCCAUAUAAGGUCACCGUACCAGGUUCAAGCUCCAUCCAACCCAUUUCCAUUUGCACAAUGCCUUGGACGAUACCAUUUGCAAGCCCCUGUCAUGUGUCCCUUACCAAAAAUCUAUACCAUGAUUUUGCUGCUGCAGAAAGCAAAUUUUAGUUGCUACCACAUGAGAUAAAAGAAUCACUGGAGUAGUUGUCCGUCUCUUAUAGUCACGAGCCACAAAAACGAAGUUUGCUGCCAGAGCAAUUGAUAUUGAGCUAAUGUCCCUAAUAACUGGAUCGGGUUUAAAUACAAUUUGCAUUUCAAUUGAAGAAAAACCAACCCGGCUAAUUACACCAACUAUUUGCAGAGCAUUGUCAACACUAAAUGGCUUCUUCAGCACCAUUUUGUGAAAAGAGUUAGUCACCUCACAGAAUGGUCUAGUCAUGCAAGAAACAACCAACCAAUGCUUUAAAUUAUUUAGUAGGCUGCCAGUAUCAAGCUCGAAGAAAGUUGUGUGUACUCUGCUUCUCUAUUCUUCAGUAUCAUCACAUAAAUUUAAUGCACUACUAGGAUGAUGCAAAGGUAAAAUAUCAGCAGGCCAAGUAUCAAAAUGUAUUUCACUUGUUAGAAGGCUAGCACACUGUUUAAUGUUGCGCACAUUGUUUGUUGUUACAUUUUUGCGGGCAUUAACUCUAUUUCUCAACUUAAGCAAAUAUGUACCAGGAUCGAACGGGAAGUCUAUGACGGGAAUGUGGCAUGGAACAUCAAAUAAUAUAUUUGUAUAUCCAAGUAGUGUUGUGCAGUGUGCAAAAACAUUAGUCUCAUCCUGCCUUAAUGCUAAGUCACCCUUAACUGCCAAAGUAUGUUGAAACAUCUCAUUGAACACCUGGGUGAUGGAAUUUACUGAAUCUUCAACUUUCAUGUCAAUCUUUAGCCGGUAUUUCAGCAAACACCUUGGAGGCAUAGUUCCGCAAAUAUUCUUCCUUAAACAUUUUUAGUUUCCAGUGGAGUAUUUGAAGUCCCAGUGCAACCAAAUGAAAAUACUAAGGAAGGAAAAUGCAGCGAGUUUGAAGAAUUACCAAAUGGAUUUACUGGCUCAUGAACUACCUCAGGCUUGUCCACGGGACUAGAGAGAUCUUUAUCGAAAUUAAAAUCCAUCUCUACACCUGAGAACUCCUCUGAUUCGCACUUAUCGUCCGAACACACAGCCAUAUAUUCAUAUGCUCUGGAGCUUCAGGGAUCGUCUUGGAAGAGGCAGAUAACUUUUUCUCUAUGUUGGCGAGCAGGUUGAGCAUAUGAGUGUUAUUAUCCAUCAUCACAUCAUCAGUCCGUUGGAGGGGCAGUUAUGUGACAUUUUGGUGAACACUUGGCCUUCCUAUAUGAAUUCCUCCACUGGCUUGCGCUGCUGGUGAACGACGAAGCACCCACCAGGUGCUUCUCUAGUGCGGGUUCGAAAAUGCAGCCUUAGUUUCUCCUUAAAAUAAUUCCAAUCAAAAAAUUGCUUAUUUCGGAACAACCAAGCAAGAGCUUCACCAUCAAGGUAGUGGUAAGGAAGAGGUAACCAGUCCUUUUCAGAGAAGCCAAGAUAGGUGAAGUACAGUUCUGCCCGAAAAAUCCAACCCUCUGGGUUUCCACCGCUGAAUCGAUCUAAUACAACUAUUGGUAUGGGAGUACGAACGAUGAAAGCACCAAUGUAAUGAACUUCUCAAACAACACACUAACAAAUAGGAACUGAGAAUUGAUCUUUGAUUAAUUGAAACCGAAUACAUGGAAUUAGAGAAUAACUAGAUAGACAUUAACCUAACUAAGCUAGAAAGAAAGGAGGGGAGAGAUAGAGCCACAGAGAGAAAUAGCGUAGGAGAGAGAGACCAGUACAAUCUUCAGCAUCCCUAUCUGUGCCAACGCUUAGUCCCUUUAACUGAUUCCUUAUUGUGCUUCCGGGCCUGGUUCCCAAAUUAACCUUUUUUAAGGUCUUCUGGUCCUAACGCUUCUUCUCGGCCCAAUAGUUCUUCUAAGCCCAAU